GUAGUUAGCCGGGGCUUCCUCCUUGGCUACCGUCACUUUCUUCGUCACCAAGGACAGAGGUUUACAACCCGAAAGCCUUCUUCCCUCACGCGGCGUUGCUGGGUCAGGCUUGCGCCCAUUGCCCAAUAUUCCCCACUGCUGCCUCCCGUAGGAGUCUGGACCGUGUCUCAGUUCCAGUGUGGCCGAUCAGCCUCUCAGCUCGGCUACCCAUCGUCGGCUUGGUGGGCUGUUAUCUCACCAACUACCUAAUGGGACGCGAACCCCUCUAAAAGCGAUAAAUCUUUGACCUCUUCCCGAUGCCGGGUUGUGGUCUUAUGCGGUAUUAGCAGUUGUUUCCACCUGUUAUUCCCCACUCUUAGGCAGGUUGUUCACGCGUUACUCACCCGUGCGCCACUAGAAUUAUCAAUUCCAUCCGAAAACUUCCUUAAUAAUCCCCGUUCGACUUGCAUGUGUUAGGCACGCCGCCAGCGUUCGUCCUGAGCCAGGAUCAAACUCUGA
rnacentral:rRNA from 1 species